rnacentral:rRNA from 1 species
GAUGAACGCUGGCGGCGUGCUUAACACAUGCAAGUCGAACGAAGCACUUUAUUUGAUUUCCUUCGGGACUGAUUAUUUUGUGACUGAGUGGCGGACGGGUGAGUAACGCGUGGGUAACCUGCCUUGUACAGGGGGAUAACAGUUGGAAACGGCUGCUAAUACCGCAUAAGCGCACAGCAUCGCAUGAUGCAGUGUGAAAAACUCCGGUGGUAUAAGAUGGACCCGCGUUGGAUUAGCUAGUUGGUGAGGUAACGGCCCACCAAGGCGACGAUCCAUAGCCGACCUGAGAGGGUGACCGGCCACAUUGGGAAUGAGACACGGCCCAAACUCCUACGGGAGGCAGCAGUGGGGAAUAUUGCACAAUGGGCGAAAGCCUGAUGCAGCGACGCCGCGUGAGCGAAGAAGUAUUUCGGUAUGUAAAGCUCUAUCAGCAGGGAAGAUAAUGACGGUACCUGACUAAGAAGCACCGGCUAAAUACGUG